rnacentral:rRNA from 1 species
GACGAACGCUGGCGGCGUGCCUAAUACAUGCAAGUCGAGCGAGCUUGCCUAGAUGAUUUUAGUGCUUGCACUAAAUGAAACUAGAUACAAGCGAGCGGCGGACGGGUGAGUAACACGUGGGUAACCUGCCCAAGAGACUGGGAUAACACCUGGAAACAGAUGCUAAUACCGGAUAACAACACUAGACUCAUGUCUAGAGUUUGAAAGAUGGUUCUGCUAUCACUCUUGGAUGGACCUGCGGUGCAUUAGCUAGUUGGUAAGGUAACGGCUUACCAAGGCAAUGAUGCAUAGCCGAGUUGAGAGACUGAUCGGCCACAUUGGGACUGAGACACGGCCCAAACUCCUACGGGAGGCAGCAGUAGGGAAUCUUCCACAAUGGACGAAAGUCUGAUGGAGCAACGCCGCGUGAGUGAAGAAGGGUUUCGGCUCGUAAAGCUCUGUUGGUAGUGAAGAAAGAUAGAGGUAGUAACUGGCCUUUAUUUGACGGUAAUUACUUAGAAAGUCACGGCUAACUAC